rnacentral:rRNA from 1 species
GCGCACCAGGCGAGAAACCUCCGCAAUACACGAAAGUGUGACGGGGCCAUCCCGAGUGCCGUCCGCUGAGGACGGCUUUUCCCCAGUGUACACAGCUGGGGGAAUAAGGAGAGGGCAAGCCUGGUGUCAGCCGCCGCGGUAAUACCAGCUCUCCGAGUGGUGGGGACGCUUAUUGGGCCUAAAGCAUCCGUAGCCGGCUGGGCAAGUCCUCCGUUAAAUCCAACGAUUCAAUCGUUGGGCUGCGGGGGAUACUGUCCAGCUUGGGGGCGGGAGAGGCCGACGGUAUUCCCGGGGUAGGGGUGAAAUCCUAUAAUCCCGGGAGGACCACCAGUGGCGAAGGCUGUCGGCUAGAACGCGCCCGACGGUGAGGAAUGAAAGCUGGGGGAGCGAACCGGAUUAGAUA